UACGUAGGCAGCAAGCGUUGUUCGGAGUUACUGGGCGUAAAGGGUGCGUAGGCGGCUUCCUAAGUUUGAUGUGAAAUCCUGGGGCUCAACCCUGGAACUGCAUUGAAUACUGGGAGGCUAGAGUACUGGAGAGGAAACUGGAAUUUACGGUGUAGCAGUGAAAUGCGUAGAGAUCGUAAGGAAGACCAGUGGCGAAGGCGAGUUUCUGGACAGUUACUGACGCUGAGGCACGAAGGCCAGGGGAGCAAACGGG
rnacentral:rRNA from 1 species